ensembl:lncRNA
CUGUUAUGGCUGUUGAAAUGGGGAGCUGGUCCCUUCAGUAUCACAGGAAUUCAUAAAUACCAUUUUGCUUGACUCCCACCACAGCACUUUGUGAUACUUUCUCCUAUCUGAGAAACAGAGUGGAACCCACAUCUGCUUACCUAGGAAGCGUAGGCUUUCCCCCUCUGAGCUGCAGUCCUCAGAUGUAUGUGAUGCUCGCACUGGGAGACGAAUGGCACACCGCACGCAUCAUUUAGAGCUCAUGGCUGCAUGUUCUCACUAAAUUUUGCUGUGAGUUCUGAGGAAAAUCUUAAAAAAAAAAAAAAAAAAGAAAAGAAAAGAUGGGGAGAGAUCAUCGCAGGAAAAGGAGAAUGCAGGAGAAUGUGGCAGGCCCUCACAGGAUCCCUCUGGUGAGAGGGAACACCCCACCCUACAGGUAUUGCACAGCAGCCCGAGAGACUGCAACCAGUCACACAGUGAUGGUGAGGAAGCAGAGGGCACCUGGCCAUCUAGCCUGCAAGGUGAGUGCAGGCUCUGGCUGUUGAAGGCUGAAAGGUUCAGGCUUUGACGCUGACCGGCACUACCUCUUUAAGAGACAGAUCUUGCCCCCUGACAACAGUCAGGGCACGCACAAGAAAACGUGCUACGUCAUCACCACAUCACUGGCCACGCAUGAGGACUCUGGGCAUGCGUGGAACCUCAGUGGGCAUACGCAGUCUUCCCUUUAAAAGCUCCAACUUUCCUGCUUCACUCUCUCUCUCUGCUUCCUCUCUACUCUCUCUCUGUUUCUUCUUGGCUCUCUCUCACCUACGUGCUCUCUCUGCCUCUCUAUGGUGACCGGCCAUGGCGGUCAGCCAUUACCCCUGUUCCUCUUUUUCUCUCUUAGUCUCCCUAUUCUGCCGGGUCAUGUAAUAAACUAGUUAACAUGUCUCAUCUUGCAGCUUUCUCUUUUCCUCUUUUUAAAUAAAAACAUAACAAAGGCUGUGGUCUCCAAACCCACACUGGAUCACUGCCACUCCUGGUGCAAUGAGCGUGAUGAAGCAGACAGGGGUUUUGCAUCCUGCUUCUCACAGCACCUGGGCUGAGUGGCAGGUGGGGAUGGGGUUAUUUCCUUCCUAGCCUGGCCACUCUGGCUGCCAUGCCUGGUCGCCAUGCCUUGGUGCACUAAGCUGUGUGUGCAGUCCGGGCAUACUACUUUUAUGCAUGUUUGCUUGAUAUGGUUCAUGGAUAAGUGAACACAUGUGAGUCAUGAACUGUGAGUGGAUGUGUCCGCCUGUAUAUUUUGGAAGUCUAUUCCACCCUACCACGAGUUCAGGAGAGCCCAGAAUUUCUAUUGUCUUUUAGAUGUCAGCUAAUAGCUGCUGGAUGUCCUGGAGAACAGCUCCUAUCUAAAUAACAAUAGACUUGGGCCAAGGGUGAGUCUACACCCACCCUGAAGGCUAGUGAGACAUGACGGGGUGGAGGUGCCUGAAGGCUUGAGUACGUGAUGCAAAGGAGAAUCUUCAGGAUUAAGGGAAAUAAUUGCUAUCAGCCCUUUAUAGAUAAUAAUAGAUGUCUUCUGCUAUUGCCCCCAUCUCUGGAUGGUUACUUAAGACACUGGAUCAAUAAACUGGGCACCUUCAGUAUUAACUGAGCGCCCUCCUGUUAUUAGCAGAUGUCUCUGUCGUUUCUUUAAUGUUAUUGAAUAGCAUUCAAUUCAUCCAUACUCCCCUACUCAGGAUUGGACCUGGGGUUGUUCCGCUGGUUCCGAUCGCAGCCCCCAAGACAUCAGUCAGCAACAAAUGGCUCCCGAAUGUGGGGCUAACACAGACAGCGGCAAAUGGUGCAGCAAUGUGGAGCUAAUACAGAUGGUGCUGACAUGGAUGAACCCCUAUUUUUGCAGAAACAGAAGUCAGAAUCAGAAAAUCUGCCCAAGGCAACCCCCUUUUCUACAGCGACUGGUGGCCAAGGAGACAUGGAAAGUCUAAGUGGAAUGCAAACUGAGGGAGGCUGAAAGCGCCAGGAGCCUUUGCUGUUUCUCUGUCCUUCCUUUCUCAAAGGUGAGAGGAUGGUUGGAGCUCCAGCAGCCAUCACAAACUCUGAGUUGAUAAUGAAGAUGGGAGUCACAGGCUAAAGGGUAGAAAAUGCAAAAAGAGAAGCUGGCUCUCCACAGCGUCUGUGUCCACCAUGUUGUCCCAGAGCAUACCUCUUAUUUUUCCAUGCUGAGUUGGAAGGGUGGCAUUUCCAUCUGAUUCCAGCUACUGCUGUCUGUCCUCUAUUGCUAGAAGCUGUUUUCCCCAUUCUAACUGGAAUAAAUCUACCUCGCCCCCGCACCUAGCCUUGCCCAGCUUGCUUGCGCUACUCUCCCCUGCUCUCACUGAAGUGACACCAGCAUCAGGCUUGCACCUGCCUCAGAUCCACAGCCUAAAGUGACAUGACAGCUCAGACCUCUUUCCCAGGCUCCACACCCAUCUCUCUUCCCCAGCAGGACCCUCACCCUUUCCGAGCCUGCUUUUCUUGGUUUCCUACUUCAGAACAUGGCUCUACUGUUGCUAGAGCCUCGGGGCUUCAAAUCUUUGUGACUCCUCUCUUCCUGCUAGCCAUCAGCAGGUUCUCUCUGUCUGUCUGUCUGAGCAUAGCCCCUCAACCCUCAUGUUUUCCCACACCUGUACUGAAGGGACCAGCUUCCCUUUCGGCAGCCAUAACAGCUGAACACGUGCUUGCCAUAAACCUGCCUUGGUCACUUAGAGGUCAGAUGCCUGUCUCGUGACAAGGAACCCAUCAGAAGUUAGCUGGUGGCGCUAUGCUUUACGACUCUGGGUGUGCUUUACGGACAAAUGCACAGCAAUGACGUAGAGAGCAUAGCAACCACCCUGGGAGGGCCUAUGGGCCAUAACAACCAGUUGACCAAUCAACACAGGGCAAGCCCUCCAAGCCUCGAGGCACACCAGUCCUGAGCCUGUGUGUACCCCUAGACACUCCCCUUAUAAAGAUCUGUGUGCAGCGGCUUCAAACUGUCUUUUCUAGCCAUCCGCCAUGGCGGGUGGGUGAAAGACCUGAGCUAACAUGGGGUUAGCUCGUUAAAUUACAAUAAAGCCUCAUGCAGUUUGCAGCAAGCUCUCGAAUCCUCCUGGUGAUUGGGGUGACCGCGAACGUGGCCUGGGACCCCGGAUACUUGAGUUUUCGGGGGUCUAACAGUACCAGACUUUUUCUUUUAGGCCACCACCCAGCUCCCAAAUCAUGACAAGUCUUAUUAUUAUUUUUGAGUACUCAGCCUAGCUUAGCUCUUUUCUGGCUAGCUCUUUUAACUUAACCUGUUUCUCUUUAUCUACCUUUUGCCCCUGACUUAUUACGUCUGUAUAUCUUACUUUCACUGUUUCUGUACAUCUGGCUAGCUGGUGACUACCUGGCUUCUGGUCCCAGUGUGUCCCAUGUUCUCUCCUCCUUCUCUUGUUCUUCUCCCCUCUUCUCUCAAGUUUCUCCUCCUACUUAUUCUUUCUGCCUGGCAGCUCUGCCUACCCCUCUCCUACCUAGCUAUUGGCCAUUCAGCCUUUUAUUAGACCAUCAGGUGCCUUAGGCAGGCAAGAUGAAACAAACGCAGCAUAAACAAAUGUAACACAUCUUUGCCCAAUUAAAAUAUUCCUCAGCACUCCAAACAAUGGUGUCACUGCUUCUGUGCCUGCACACAGCUCACACGGUCUUCGCUCUAACUCUCCAGUCAUGUGUGACUAAGAAGAAAAGCCAAAUGCCUCACCCAAGGUGCACAAGGUGACCACCUCAACACUGUGACCGCCUCUCCUCAGUGACCACUGCUCCUCAGUGACCACCCCUCCAUGGUGACCACCUCACCACUGUGACCACCUCUCCAUGGUGACAGCCUCUCCUCUCCACUGUGGUCACCUCUCCUCAGUUACCACCUUUCCCUGGGGACCACCUCUCCUCAGUUACCAUCUCUCCACCGUGACCACCUCUCCACAGUGACAGCCUCACCACAGUGACCUCCUCUCUUGCUCACAGACACACUAGCCUCAGACCCUACUCACUCUCCACUCCCAGAAUGCCUCUCUAACAUCAUCACCUGCAAGACACUUCAGCUGAACAGCCCAGAGGCAUCUCAACAGGUGGGCUUAGCAGUCUCCGCCCUCUCCUGCACCAGCCACCUUUGGCUAUCAUCUGGGACUUCACCCUCUGAACCAUCUCCUUCAUUUACUCAUUUUCUAGUCUCUUUGGAACAUCAUCCCCCACCUAGCAGGAAGUCUGUCUGUCUUCAUUCCCUUGGCUCCAAAGUCAGUGUCUCAGUCUGUAACCCUCCAUCAGGUUGGGUUGUCACAGCAGCACACCACGGUCCUUGUUUAUUCUGUGACUUCAGCCUUCAUUCUGAUAUCAGCUUCUUCACUCUGUGGAGAUGCUAAGAGUUGGCAUAUCUGGUCCUGGGUACUUGUAUUUGAUUCUUCCCUCAUCUACAGUGCUGUGACACUUGGUAUACUUCCAGAGUCCUUACACACCAGAAAGGCUUUGUUGUCACGUAAAAGAAAUUAAAAAUAAAUAAAUAAAAAAAAACUGAUCUUUCUGAAAGCUUUGAACUUGCGCCAUUGUCUUCUGAGUUUGCUGCCAUGAUGGUCUUAGCUGCACACUAGCUCUCAGACUGGACUGCAUUUGCAGACAGGAUGGUCCAACUCCACACUAAGUCUCAGACUGGCUGCUUCUCUGUGCAUCUGAAUCACUGGCUGAAUUAACCACUGAAGGUUGAGUCCCUCAGCUUAAAUGACACAUCUUUACUGAAGUUACUCUCUGGACCAAGCUCUUUACCCUCAGUCUGGGAGUUUUCAAAUCCUUUGUCUUUGCCAGGCAGUGGUGGCACAUAUCUUUAAUCCCAGUGCUCAGGAAGCAGAGGCAGAUGAAUCUCUGUGAGUUCCAGACCAGCCUGGUCUACAGAGUGAGUUCCAGGACAGGCUCCAAAGAUAGAAGCCCUGUCUCAAAAGAUAGAAACCCUGUCUCGAAAACACUGUAUCUUUGAUUAUUGCUUCUUCCCACUUGCACUUUCUUCCUCACACUAGCCUGAGCCUCCAAACGUCACUUCCUCUCUCCAGCCUCCAUAACAUUACAGCCCUCACCCUUUACUCUUUCUUGGGGCUUCCAGCAAGUCUAGAUUGCCUCUCCUUCAGCAGCUCUGUUCUCCCUCACUGCCAAAUGGAGAACCAAGCUCUGUGGGCAGUGAACAACUGGAUAGCCUUCCCCUCUACCAGAGAUGGCCUUUCCAGUUGGGCUUGUCCCUCACCCUAUUGUCCUUCUUGUCACCCUUAGCAAACCUAAUAAUUACAUAUAUCCUUAUAGCUCAUGGAAAGCAUGAAAUGCCAAUCCUUAGAUCAUUGUUUAUUUCUUCCUAAAAAUAACAUUUUCAAAAAUUGUAUUUUCAGCUGUAAUCAGUGUGUGCAGUUCAGACCACAUUCAUUGGUUCAGUGUUUCUAUUCAAAUGACUCCAUAAAGAAGACCUUUGCGGGUGAGAGCAUGGGAUGGGGUCACUUUCUUUGCCUGUCCCCUGACCCCUGGUCCCCUAAAGUACCCCCUGGGGACCUAAAGCUAAAAGCAAAGCCAGCUCUCUCCAGGCCCAAUGCCAUGGCCAGUGUCAGGCACUUGCUUUUGUGUGACCUUCCAUUUGAGAGAACCAGUUUUUUCUGACAUUCCUGGGGAAAGUGAAUUCCUGUGAAUUAGGGGAUCAUUCUUUCACCCAGAGUUCUACCUGGAAGGCAAAGCCAGGCUUGUCUGGGCUCUGCCAGCAGCAGUGUACUUACUAUUGUCCUACACCUUUUACCAUGCAGUGUCACCUGCCUGAGCUUUUGUCUGUCUGUCUCUAUAGCAAGCAGGAUGGGAGACAAGAGUCCAGACUGACAGGCACCCAGAAGAAAGGGACUGCUCAGCUGGGCUCAGUGACUUCUUUAAACCUUGACUAGAGUCAAGGCUUCUUCCACCUCUGGCCAACUGAGCCACUAACAAUGAAAAUGUCCCCAAUUGUACUUCUGGAUCCCUCAUUGUUGCUGAAGAUAAUGGGAGCCCUGGUCAAAGCUAGCCAUUGUUGACCCUGUUCCUGGGCAUUCUUGCAUUGGUUUUUGGCCAUUUUCAGUACUUCCGUGUGUAUUUUAAGUACAAGUUUGAAGAGAGAUCACUCUGGGCUAAAUGUUUUCAAUGACCAGCCAUCCAUAUUUUCUGAAUUCCCCUAACCAAGUCCAAAACCCUGGCACCUCAUAGGUUCUUAAAUAUUUGGGACCAGAGCUGACCUGGAGCCAGACUAGGAUGGCCCUGGACAACAGUGUUGAAAACACACAGGUCUCAAGCAAAGAAGAGCAAUCCAAAGUCACCAUGUGCAAAGGCAAGCAAGCUGGCCGGGAGGGAAUUACUGAGACCUGGGGAGGUCAGCUGCAGCAGAUGGGGCGUUCCAGCUCCAUAUGAGCUAACAUGCAUCAGGAAGGGCUAGGAUUCCCUUGCAGUGUCAGUGUGUCUCCAGGGUCCACGUGCUGUGAGCUUGGUCCCUAGGGUGGCAAUGUCAGGGAAGUAGUGUGUGCUUUAAGAGGCAGGGCUCAGUGUCAAAUAAUUGGGUUGUGGGGAGUUGCCCUUGGGAGGAAUUGGUAAAGUUCUCAUGAGACCCUCACUUGUUUUCAGGAGAGGUUGUUAUGAAAGAGCAGGUCUGGCCCUCACUGGUUACCCUCCAGCUUCUAGUCUCGCCAUGUGACUUUCACAUGCUAUUAUUCAUCCACUAUAAAGUCUCACCAGAACUGAGUCGAUGCCGGUGAACAGCCGUGCCCCUUGAACCUCCUGAACUGUGAGCUAAAUGAGCCUUUUUGUUUGGAUAGUUGGUUUUUGGUCUGGGGUUUGUUUGUUUUUUGGUGGUGGUGGUGGUAAUUUGGUUUAGUUUUUGGUUUUUUGAGACAGGGUUUCUUUGUGUACCCUUGGCUAUCCUGGAACUAACUCUGUAGACCAGGACAGCCUGGGACUCACAGAUAUUGCCUGCCUCUGCCUCCCACAUGCUGGGGUUAAAGGUGUGCCCACCACUGCCUAGCCAACCCUCUUUCUUUAGAAAGGGCCAAGCCUUGGAUAUUUUGUUACAACAAUAGAAAACUUGCUGGCUCUACCACAAGAUCCAGCAAUUCGACUCUUAGGCAUAUACCCAAAAGAAGCACAUUCAUACAACAAGGACACCUGUUCAACGAUGUUCAUAGCAGCACUAUUUGUAAUAGCCAGAAACUGGAAGCAGUCUAGAUGCCCCUCAACCGAAGAAUGGAUCGAGAAAAAGUACACAAUGGAGAACUACUCAGGGGGGGGGGACAAAAAAAAAAAACAAUGGAAUCUUGAAAUUUGCAGGAAAAUGGAUAGAACUAGAAGAAACCAUUCUGAGCAAGGUAACCGAAUCACAAAAAGACAAACAUAAUAUAUACUCACUCAUUUGUGGAUUUUAGACAUAAAGAUUACCAGCCUACAAUCCACACUGCCAGAGAAGCUAGGAAACAAGGAGGACCCUAAGAGAGACAUACAUGGUCCCUUGGAGAAGAGGAAAGGGUCAAGAUCCCCUGAGCAAAUUGAGAGCACGGGAAGAGGGGGGAGGGAGCUACAUGAAUGAUAAGGGAAGAAGAGGAAGGAUGCAGAGGUCAUGAGGGAGCAGAAAGGUUGAGUCAGGGGAAGAACAGAAGAAAGGAUAUGUGAUAGGUAGGGUUUUAGUUGGGGGGGUAGUAGGGGAGGACGGGAGGGAGAAGGGAACUGGGAUUGUCAUGUAAAACAAUAUUGUUUUUAAUUCAAAUUAAAAAAUGAUAAUAAAAAAAAAAGAAAACUUGCUGGCACAGGAAGUUGGGGUCUUCCUUCAGAUCUCCCUGAAGAUAAAGGCUGAUGAGAACUAAACUCAGCAUGGAGAGCCACUCAUGCUGGUAGGCUUGAAGCUAUAGGAUAGGAAGGCCGAGUUCAAUAGCCAAGCCUAGGGCAUCUCAGAAUGUUUCCUGCAGGGUAAAAGGGGCAGCCAAAGAAAUACACCCUGACCCUGAAACCAGAGCAAAAGAACACAGUUUGGCCCUGAAACCAGAGCCAAAGAAACACACCCUGACCCUGAGACCAGAACCAAUUCACUGGCCCUGAGACCAGAGCCAAAAGGUUAAAAGGGGAGGAGAAGGGUUGACCAGUGAAAAAAGCACAUCAUGACCAUGAAAUCAGAGUCAAAGAAACACCCUCUACACCAACCAACUCAGCACAAAAACCAACCAAUCCCUGAGCAUAAAACCAACAAUAAUGGCCAGCAAUGGCAUAACCCUAAGGGUGCAUCAGUGGCACUCCUAUCUUGGCAGUAACCACCAGCUCUCUCAUCGGACUUAAGGCCUACUCAACAAGACAAAAAUCACACCUAGUACAGGAAACCUAGCCAACCAAUGGGAAACCUGUGAGGUCAUGGACCUAGGAGAAGAGCCUACAGCUAGCACUUUACCAAACAAAACUAAUCCCUCACCACAUUCUAAAUAUUUAUCCUUAUUCCCACAAGUAACUAUAAUUCUCACCCUUCAACAAAGAAACUUCUCUUUGCAAUAGACAGAGACUAUUACAGAAAACCACAAUUGUUCAAAAUUCAGAGAAUAAAUAAUACCAGAGACAUUAUGUGCUUCUCUCUGAGUAGCCCCUGAACCUAGACACACCGCACUUCUUGGGGUGACGGGAGGAGGAAGUGUAUGCUAGCUCUCCACCCACAUGAUCCUGAUCCCAUAAACACAGCCUGAGGAAUGAGCACCAACAUUUUUGUGAGACGGAAGAGGAGGGGAAGAACAGAAAGUGAGCCUCUGGGAUUGCAGGUGAUAUUGAAUUUCUCACUCACUGCCUGUCCGCAGAGCCAUGGAAAUCCCCAGGGGACCACUCUUUCCCUUAAGAGACAAACAUGGAACAAAGCCAGCUUGAAACUGACCUAUCUGACUCUAAACUUUGCACUGGUAGAGUCAGAACAGUAGUGCUCCUCAAAUUCCUCCCUGCUCCCACAGAAAGAACUUCCAGGUAGACCCACAGAGGCUAGCAUCAGAGUGUUGGGGGGAUGGAAAACAAAGGGGUGACUCUGCCAGGACACAGAGGGGUAGCCAUGCCAGCUGGGUGUGAGAGGGGGAAUAAGAGACCCUCUAUGCUGUCCAUCCACACUUUGCUGCCCAUAGAUAGUUGAGCACAGAACAUGGCUACAGUUCCCAGCAGGCCUCAGAGCUUACAGGUGCUACAUGGGACAGUCACCUCCACUUUCUAAAGGAUGAUGGCAAUGGUCUUUGCUUCUAUUCACUUACACAACACACACAAUGUGUGCACACACCUGCACGAACGUGGAUGCACACAGCUUAGCGUGACUACUGCAGCCAAGCAGGAGCAUCACCUGUUCAUUUGGAUCACUGAGUAGACAAGAAUUAACAGCAGGAAGCAAUCCAGAUUGGGUCUGAACCUGGGUCCCCUCAGAGCCUCCUUUCCUUGGGGCUUGGUGAGCUUUCUCACAGGUCCUGUGUGUAUCACACACAGAAAGGGCCCCAUGCCUGCCCAUCUGGACCUUGGGAGUCCAUUUGCAGGAUGAUUACAAGGGAGAGGAAAGAACAACAGGCUGAAUACUGGAGAAAAUGGAGUCUUGUUUACUUUUAAAAGGGAAAAAUGUUGCCAGUACCUCAGAGCCCCCAUCUCCCUGAAGAAUUCUUACUACAAAUAAUCUGUGAUGAACUUCCAAUGCCUCUCUUACAAGGCCUUCCAAAUGCUUUUUUUUUUUAAAUGUUCCAAAAGAGCAUUCCAGCAAGGCAGCUGGGCCAAAGUGCUUGCUGCUGGAUGUGGGGAGGGAAGGGGGUAGGAGGGACAGCAGCUGGUAGAGUCUACAAAAGUGUGUGGUUUUUGCAUUCUUCAAGACAUGCCAUAGACUGGUCUAGGCAGACACAAAUUCAACACUUGCCUUCACUAGCGCUCGUGCACCUAGGCACACAAGAAUGCAAGCAGAUUUGUGCAUGACCACAUCCCGGUGUGAUGUUCAAAGACACCGCAGACAUAAGGGAGCGAGCACAUCCAUGCUUUUCCAUGGUUGGAUUGCAGGUGUCAGCUGCUGAGCUUCCUGCCAUGGCAUGGGGAGUGUGGAUCACACCCUCUACCUCUCACAGAGACCUACCCUCUAGCUUGAAGCAGAGAGACGAUGGUGGCUCAUCCUCUGAGCCCUCAGGGUGGGAAGCCACCUCUUUUUUUUUUUUUGGCUGUCAUUUUUUUCAGAUUUUUUU